rnacentral:rRNA from 1 species
GAUGAACGCUGGCGGCGUGCCUAAUACAUGCAAGUCGAGCGAACAGACGAGGAGCUUGCUCCUUUGACGUUAGCGGCGGACGGGUGAGUAACACGUAGGUAACCUACCUAUAAGACUGGGAUAACUUCGGGAAACCGGAGCUAAUACCGGAUAAUAUUUCGAACCGCAUGGUUCGAUAGUGAAAGAUGGCUUUGCUAUCACCUAUAGAUGGACCUGCGCCGUAUUAGCUAGUUGGUAAGGUAGCGGCUUACCAAGGCAACGAUACGUAGCCGACCUGAGAGGGUGAUCGGCCACACUGGAACUGAGACACGGUCCAGACUCCUACGGGAGGCAGCAGUAGGGAAUCUUCCGCAAUGGGCGAAAGCCUGACGGAGCAACGCCGCGUGAGUGAUGAAGGUCUUCGGAUCGUAAAACUCUGUUAUUAGGGAAGAACAAACGUGUAAGUAACUGUGCACGUCUUGACGGUACCUAAUCAGAAAGCCACGGCUAACUACGUG